AACUAUAACGGUCCUAAGGUAGCGAAAUUCCUUGUCGGGUAAGUUCCGACCUGCACGAAUGGCGUAAUGAUGGCCAGGCUGUCUCCACCCGAGACUCAGUGAAAUUGAACUCGCUGUGAAGAUGCAGUGUACCCGCGGCAAGACGGAAAGACCCCGUGAACCUUUACUAUAGCUUGACACUGAACAUUGAGCCUUGAUGUGUAGGAUAGGUGGGAGGCUUUGAAGCGUGGACGCCAGUCUGCGUGGAGCCAACCUUGAAAUACCACCCUUUAAUGUUUGAUGUUCUAACGUAGGCCCCUAAUCGGGGUUGCGGACAGUGUCUGGUGGGUAGUUUGACUGGGGCGGUCUCCUCCCAAAGAGUAACGGAGGAGCACGAAGGUUAGCUAAUCCUGGUCGGACAUCAGGAGGUUAGUGCAAUGGCAUAAGCUAGCUUGACUGCGAGCGUGACGGCGCGAGCAGGUGCGAAAGCAGGUCAUAGUGAUCCGGUGGUUCUGAAUGGAAGGGCCAUCGCUCAACGGAUAAAAGGUACUCCGGGGAUAACAGGCUGAUACCGCCCAAGAGUUCAUAUCGACGGCGGUGUUUGGCAC
rnacentral:rRNA from 1 species